CCCGAGCUCUAAUCACACAACAGUUUCGUAACCAUGUUCUCUCAGAAAGUUCCAUAGUCCACCCCUCUGGAACAAAAUGAAAUGAUUUCCAGAAAGGGGCUGAAAUGCUUGAAGAAAGAAAAACAUCAGGCAAUGCAUCCUUCUUUGAUCCAAUUAGUUCCAUCCCAUUCCACAGACGCUUACUGAAUCUAAGACGUGUCAGGUCCUUUGCGAGUUUCUGGGGAUAAAUAAGAGCCAGUCCAUGCGGUGACCACAGCCGAUGACCACAAUGCUGUAUGCUAGGAACGAUAAUGGAGGUAUCUGACCACUGAUACGACAACUGAGAUUUGUUAUGGCAGGAAAACCAUCAUUUCCAGAACCACUUGGCGGGAACUGAGGUAAAAACAAACAAACAAACAAAAACCUUUUCCAUUUGGACAGGCUUGUCUUUAGCCUGUUUUUCAGAAGUCAAGACACUUGGCAACUUCAGACUUCUGAAGUGACUGAAAUUGGAAAUGCUCAGGACAAAACUGCCCAGCCUGCUCUCAGAGGGGGACAAGCAGGCAGCCGCUGGGCACUCUCGACUCCCUGAGCAGAUACGAGAGCGCUGUGGCUGCAACAGGUCCCACGGAGCGCUGUGGUUGAUGGUGAACUCGAGCAAAGAACAGAACUAGUAUCUGUUCCUGUGUUAGUUUGGAGGCCAAGAAACAAUAAAGAUUUGGCAAGGAACUGGUCAAGAAAAAAAAAAAUUAUAACUCCUUGGAGAUCCUAAGAGGUAAAUGGUUGUUGCUUUAGUCCUCACAGGAACUUAAAGGUGGUCAGAGAAGCAGUAAAUAGAUGGUCCUCUGACCACAGAGAAGAGGACAAUGUUCCAUGAACACAGCUGCCUUAUGCUCUCAGGGGACCAGCAGCUACCUGUGCCGAAGUCCAGACACAGCAGCCUUUGGACGGAAGUAAUGGGGGAAUGUGUGUGUGUGUGUGUGGGUGUGUGUGUGUGUGCGCGCGCGCCCACGUGCGUGUGUGUGUGUGUGUGCGCGCGCGCCCAUGUGCGUGUGUGUGUGUGUGUGUGUGUGUGGUAUACGAAAGAUUUCAUUUUCAUUUUAUAACAAUAAGCCAAAUGCCAAAAAUGCACGCUACCAUCAAUGACUUUUUUUUAAUAUGUCAGUUUUAGGGACAUUUUAAGGCGAUAUAUUCCACACCAUCUUCAUAACCAUUGAUAUCAACUCAUAAAUGAACUCAUCACCAUUUGCUUAAUCUUUGCUUCUGGUGGGAUAUUCCUAUUCCCAUCUCUCAAAUGGCUACAUGGUAACUUGGGCCAGAAAUCCAGGAGUCAUUCUAGAUCCUUCUCUCAAGUGUACUUUGACUGUGACCUCCAGAAUAUUUAACUUCCUUUCCCCCUCUCUCUCUCUCUUUAUUUAUAUACCACUUCCUGUAAAAAAUUGAUAGUAUGUUUCCCCCAUUGGAAUGUAAGCUCACUGAGGAAAAGCCUAAUUCCCAUUUUUGUUCUUCUAAUGCUUAACGCAUUGCCUUCAACACAAAGCAAUAGAUGCCAUAAACACUCAAACAGUUUCACAUUAUGUUUUUUAUGAAGGUCAAGGAUUUAAAAUGUCAAUACUCAGGGGUGCCUGCGUGGCUCAGCUGGUUGAGUGUCUGACUUUUGAUGUGGGCUUAGGUUAUGAUCCCAGGGUUGUGGGGUCAAGACCCAUGUUGGAUUCUGCUUGAGAUUCUCUCUUUCCCUCUGCCCCUCUCCCACUUACGCGCUGUCUCUCUAAAACAAAACAAAACAAAAAACUAAAAUUUCAUAAAAUGUCAAUACUCAAAAGUUGACAAAACUGGCCUUCUAUAUAUGAAGGUUUGUUCCCUAGUGGCUGUCCAGAGUCAAGUUCUACAGGACUCCUUCUCUGCUAUCCCAGCAGGCUUCGUUCACUGGCCGGUGAUCCCUCACAAUGUGGUCCCAACCCACGGAAGGUGCCCUCCCAAACUGGGAUGUGUUCAGAGUAUCCACAUUCUCAUGUACAUUCAGUCCAAUAAUUACUCAGCACUGCACAUUAGAGGGUCAAAUUAAUCAAUAACUCUUCAAAUUAGUGCAAAGAAAAUCGUUCCCAGAUGUAUACACCAAAUGUCACUGUGUUUCAUGUAAGUAAACCACAAUCCUUCUGCUCAAUAAUCUUCUAUCUUAAAUAUAGAUAAGGCUGACACACCUAGAGAUAGAUAAAACUGUGGAUAAACAAAACGAGUUCUUCUGACUUCAUUCCAAAGGAAACAUCUUAAACUAAAUUAAGAAACGCCUAACUUUCCUCCUCAGAGCUUUGUUUUUUUGUUUCACUGUUGUUUAUGUGAUUAUUGUCAUGGAAGGCAGAGAGUCAUUCAUUUUGACUUUGGCUUUUAAUUAAUCCUAUUCUUCUCUCACAGUUCUUUUUCUUCAAUUAUUGUCAUGGUAGGAGGAGAUUUGGGGAAAUUUCUCAGUGCAAAUGAUGCUGUGGUAAUUUUCCAUCUAAUUUUGACUUAAAAAAAACACUUAUGUUAUCACUUGGAACCAUCCCAUAUUUUAGUUGUCUUUGUUUCAUUGUUCACAUGUUCCCCUUGAAACCAACUUAUUUUGAGAAAAUGAAAGCACUAAAUUUCAUUCUGGAAUCCCUUUACUGUUAUUUGGUUUGGGUAGUUGUUAUUCGUUUGUGAGUUUCUUGAGCCAAAUUUCAUGUGUUUGGGCUUCCUGAACCAUGCAAGCGCCUUCUUUCUCAUGCUAUGUGAAGGUUUGGAUGCCAGGUUUCUGUAGGGUGAAUUGCAUAUAACGGCAGGGUAUUUGCUUGAUUGUUUAAGAUUGAUUAACUUCCGAUUAGUCACUUAGACUAGAAGCAGCUUCUCAGGACUGUGACAAAAUAAUGUUUUCAUCCUUUCCUAAUGAGUUCAAUGUGGUUAUUUUCCGUUCUGAUGGAGUGAAAUGUUUCUUUAAUAAAAUCAAUUUGCACCAUG